rnacentral:rRNA from 1 species
CCUACGGGAGGCAGCAGUGGGGAAUAUUGGACAAUGGGGGGAACCCUGAUCCAGCCAUGCCGCGUGUGUGAAGAAGGCCCUCGGGUUGUAAAGCACUUUCAGUGAGGAAGAACGCCUGGUGGUUAAUACCCAUCAGGAAAGACAUCACUCACAGAAGAAGCACCGGCUAACUCCGUGCCAGCAGCCGCGGUAAUACGGAUGGUGCGAGCGUUAAUCGGAAUUACUGGGCGUAAAGCGCGCGUAGGUGGCUUGAUAAGCCGGUUGUGAAAGCCCCGGGCUCAACCUGGGAACGGCAUCCGGAACUGUCAAGCUAGAGUGCAGGAGAGGAAGGUAGAAUUCCCGGUGUAGCGGUGAAAUGCGUAGAGAUCGGGAGGAAUACCAGUGGCGAAGGCGGCCUUCUGGACUGACACUGACACUGAGGUGCGAAAGCGUGGGUAGCAAACAGGAUUAGAUACCCCUGUAGUC